rnacentral:rRNA from 1 species
GAUGAACGCUAGCGAUAGGCCUAACACAUGCAAGUCGAGGGGCAGCACAUGAAGUAGCAAUACGGAUGGUGGCGACCGGCGCACGGGUGAGUAACGCGUAUGCAACCUGCCUACAACAAGGGAAUAACCCGUUGAAAGACGGACUAAUACCCUAUAAUACAGGGGUCCCGCAUGGGAAUAUUUGUUAAAGAUUUAUCGGUUGUAGAUGGGCAUGCGUUCCAUUAGCUAGUUGGUGAGGUAAGGGCUCACCAAGGCAACGAUGGAUAGGGGAACUGAGAGGUUUAUCCCCCACACUGGUACUGAGACACGGACCAGACUCCUACGGGAGGCAGCAGUGAGGAAUAUUGGUCAAUGGACGCAAGUCUGAACCAGCCACGUCGCGUGAAGGAAGACGGCCCUACGGGUUGUAAACCUCUUUUGUAAGGGAAUAAAGUGAGUCACGUGUGACUUUUUGCAUGUACCUUACGGAUAAGGAUCGGCUAACUCCGUGCCAGCAGCCGCGGUAAUACGGAGGAUCCGAGCGUUAUCCGGAUUUAUUGGGUUUAAAGGGUGCGCAGGCGGGAGAUUAAGUCGGCGGUGAAAUUUUGCAGCUCAACUGUAAAAGUGCCUUCGAUACUGGCUUUCUUGAGUGUGGAUGAAGUAGGCGGAAUUUGUGGUGUAGCGGUGAAAUGCUUAGAUAUCACGAGGAACUCCGAUUGCGCACGCAGCUUACUAAACCACUACUGACGCUCAUGCACGAAAGCGUGGGGAUCAAACA